GAUAUAUUAAUGCGGUCAUACUGCGUUUUUAAAAAGAAAAGCAACACGGCUGCAGCAGCGAAAGAACGCAAGUCGGCGUGGGAGAAGAUUACUGCUCGAGUCAAUGCAUGUAAUCCCACCGGCGAAAAAAGAACGUGGAAGCAGCUGAAGAUGAAAUAUAAAAACAUUGUUCAAACAGCCAACAGAAAGCGGGCAUCUGCCCGCAAAACUGGCGGAGGACCACCCCCACCACGUCUGACCGAGGCAGAGGAGCUGGCCAUGAGUCAGA